rnacentral:tRNA from 1 species
GCGCCCGUAGCUCAAUUUGGAUAGAGUGUUGGACUCCGGUUCCAAAGGCUAAGGGUUCGAGUCCCUUCGGGCGUA